rnacentral:snRNA from 1 species
AGAUGUGAGGACAAUCUGGCUGUGACAUCUGUCACAUUGAUCAUCAUGGCUGAUUCACUUUAGCUGACUGGCAAGGCUUGUGACCUCUUCCUCCUUCACUGUUCCAUGUGUGUCCCACUCAAACUCCGCCCUUUAAGAAGUCCUCUCUAAUAGGUCUUCGGUAGCUGUGCUUCCCUUUCAAAAUAUCCAAACAAGUUCUCAAGGAAUUUAAAAUGCAAUGCAAAAAGAUAUCCCAGCACCCAUGCUUCUUG